rnacentral:rRNA from 1 species
AUACGGAAGGUCCGGGCGUUAUCCGGAUUUAUUGGGUUUAAAGGGAGCGCAGGCGGAGAUGCAAGCGUGACGUCAAAUUUCGGGGCUCAACCCCGUCUCGCGUCGCGAACUGCGUCCCUUGGUUGCGGGAAGGGGAGGCGGAACUCGUGGUGUAGCGGUGAAAUGCAUAGAUAUCACGAAGAACUCCGAUCGCGAAGGCAGCCUUCCGGCCCGUCAACGACGCUCAUGCUCGAAGGUGCUGGUAUCAAACAGGAUUAGAUACCCUGGUAGUCCGCACAGUAAACGAUGGACACCCGCGGUUUGGCCUAUAUGGCUGAGCCGCCAAGCGAAAGCGUUAAGUGUCCCACCUGGGGAGUACGCCGGCAACGGUGAAACUCAAAGGAAUUGGCGGGG